GACGAACGCUGGCGGCGUGCUUAACACAUGCAAGUCGAACGGAAAGGCCCUGCUUUUGUGGGUUGCUCGUGUGGCGAACGGGUGUGUAACACGUGAGUAACCUGCCCUUGACUUUGGGAUAACUUCAGGAAACUGUGGCUAAUACCGGAUAGGAGCUCCUGCUGCAUGGUGUGGGUUGGAAAGUUUCGGCGGUUGGGGAUGGACUCGCGGCUUAUCAGCUUGUUGGUGGGGUAGUGGCUUACCAAGGCUUUGACGGGUAGCCGGCCUGAGAGGGUGACCGGCCACAGUGGGACUGAGAGACGGACCAGACUCCUACGGGAGGCAGUAGUGGGGAAUAUUGCAGAAUAGGCGGAAGCAUGAGGCAGCAACGCCGCGUGCGGGAUGAUGGCCUUCGAGUGGUAAACCGAUGUGGACUGUGACGAAGCGUGAGUGACGGUAAUGGGUAAAGAAGCAACGGCUAACUACGUG
rnacentral:rRNA from 1 species